AAAACAAAACAAAACAAAAAAACCCCAAAAAACUACCACAACACAAAACAGUUCAGUAUUCAAUAACUAUAAGUGAAGAUUACUCUUAGACAUGUUAUCAGCUUAUUUUGCUUGUAUAACCAGAUUUCAUAACUUAUAUGCUAGUCAGUAGCUUAGCUAAAAAAAUCCAUCCAACAUCCUUAUACUCUGCAAUAGAAACAAACAUAAAAUAAUAAUACAGGAAAUAAUGAGAUAAAGAUUUUACACAUCUAGAUGCAAUGUCUAGUAAUUCAGGUCUUUUCUCAUGCUAAUAAUAGAACUGCUUACAUUUAGCAGCAAAAGACAAUUGGAUGUCACAAAGUGGCAUAAUACAAACUGAGAAACUUUUAAUAUCUGUGAGAAAAAUUACAUUAUUAGCAUUCAUAGCAUAGCCUAUAAUGUACCAUAAUUCCAUUACUUAAGAGUAGCAUUUGUUUGAUCUAUUCAGUGCAAUUCUGGUUACGAAGAUCUAAUUCACAGACACAAUCUUAUUACAGCAUCUGAGACCAAUAGGACUAUUGCUGCCUUUCCUGUGCACCACAGGACUUCUGGGUACAGAUGCUGGACUCCAGCCACACUGCAGGCCACCGCCUACCUCUGCCUCUUGCCAUCCACCAACACGGAAAUGGCGGUUCCUCUGUCACUGGCCAUUUCCCUCUUCAUCUGCCACAGCGCCUCCAGCCUUACCUCUGUAUCCCAGGAUAUCCAACCAUGCAAGUGUUACGAGCGGCUGCGGGAGAGGGCAGAGAGGCAAUUUUGAAGGAAGCUAAUACACUUGAUACUUGGUGUAUCAGGAGCCCGUGCCCAGGUGUUGGCAAGAAUCUCUGUGAGGAGAGGUCAGGGCUGCCUCAUGCCUGACAUGGCUGGUUCCAACCGGUUCCAGCCAGUUCCACAGCAGCCCCACUGCAGGGCACAGCCGAGCCCAGCAUCAGCACUGGUGGAGCCUCUGUGGUAAUGGAUUGAAGAAGGGGAAAACUGCACAGCUGCCAGGAGUGAGGAAAAAAGUGUGAGAAAUGAGCCCUGCAAGCACCCGAGUCAGAGAGGGAGGAAGACCUCCGGGUGCCCGAGCAGAGACUCCCCUGCAGCCCCUGGAAAGACCAUGGUGGAGCAGAUUUUUUCCUGAAGGACUGCAGCUUGUGGAGAAGAUCCACGCUGGGGAAGGGGAGAAGUGUGAGCUAAGUUGCUUAAGCUGAGAAUAGCACACGUACUUGCUCUGUGACAAGCCAAGUGACUUGCCCCUGAAAAAAUCCAACCUGUUAAGACCACCUUGCCUCAGCAGGUGAAAGCAAUAACAUCGCCAGACAUUUGGAAGAGGGCUUGUGGUAGCCUCAGGUGAAAAGUUCCUUGCUCUUCAGAUUCUUCUUCAUUUUACUUACUAAUAAAGACAGGAUGAGUAGCUCUGUUUUUCCAGUACAAUCACUGCAAUAAAAAAAUUAAGGAAAAAAAAAAAUCCUGUGUUGGUGUACUGAGAUUUAGCUACAGACUAACUAAUAUCCCUCUGCAAAAAAAAAAAUUAACAUGUUAAGGAGUAUUUGGAAGAAGAAGGGAUUUUUAUUGUAUUACAAGAUUUUUACCUCAUAUAUAUGGAAGCAUUAUUCUGUUAAAAAAGGCCUUAUCACAAUCCUGACUGCAGGGGAGCCAUGACAGAGCUUGACAGCUCAGAUUUGUCCUAACUGCUCCUUUUAGGAUUUAAGUAGCAGUCUUCAGCCUCAGCCCCCAUCCCUACAUCUGCUUUAGCUGGAAGCGAGUAAGAACAUCUAAAAUUUACAGAUGGACCCCUUUUGGCCUCAGUACAGCUGCCAACCCUUCAAAAGCCGCUACUGUUCUGUUCCCACUGCUCCACCUCUGAGAAGGUAAACACAAUAUUUCAUGUACAUUUAAUACUAAUAUGCAAUAUUUAUUACCCUUUCUAGCUUUAAGUUCUGUUUAGCAUUUUAUCUCAAACCUCAAAUUGGCACCAAAAAAAACCCCAUACAACUGGAAAGAUUUCAGUCCCUAAACCCAUGAAAGCUGCAGUUAAAUGAGUUGGUUUACAAGAUCACAAUUAAAAGCUUAUUUGCAUUGUAUAUAAUCAACUGUCUUACACUCUAAAUUAUCUUGUCAUUACAGUGGUACAGGAACUUUUUAAGAGAUGUUAAAGGAUUUGAAGCUGCAUUAUCUCAUUACUUUUAUGCAAUCUGUCAAUAAAUCAAUGUAUUGUGUA